rnacentral:rRNA from 1 species
AGAGCGAACGCUGGCGGCAGGCCUAACACAUGCAAGUCGAGCGCCCGUAGCAAUACGGGAGCGGCAGACGGGAUAGUAACACGUGGGAACGCGCCCUUCGGUUCGGAAUAACUCAGGGAAACUUGAGCUAAUACCGGAUACGCCCUUACGGGGAAAGAUUUAUUGCCGAAGGAACGGCCCGCGUCCGAUUAGCUAGUUGGUGAGGUAAUGGCUCACCAAGGCGACGAUCGGUAGCUGGUCUGAGAGGAUGACCAGCAUCACUGGGACUGAGACACGGCCCAGACUCCUACGGGAGGCAGCAGUGGGGAAUAUUGGACAAUGGGCGCAAGCCUGAUCCAGCCAUGCCGCGUGGAUGAUGAAGGCCUUAGGGUUGUAAAGUCCGUUUUAACGGGGAAGAUAAUGACGGUACCGUAGAAUAAGCCCCGGACUAACUUCGUGUCAGCAGCCGC